rnacentral:rRNA from 1 species
GAUGAACGCUAGCUACAGGCUUAACACAUGCAAGUCGAGGGGCAGCAUGGUCUUAGCUUGCUAAGGCCGAUGGCGACCGGCGCACGGGUGAGUAACGCGUAUCCAACCUGCCUUACACUCUUGGACAGCCUUCUGAAAGGGAGAUUAAUACAAGAUGUUAUCAUGAGUAAGCAUUUUCGCAUGAUUAAAGGUUUACCGGUGUAAGAUGGGGAUGCGUUCCAUUAGAUAGUAGGCGGGGUAACGGCCCACCUAGUCUUCGAUGGAUAGGGGUUCUGAGAGGAAGGUCCCCCACAUUGGAACUGAGACACGGUCCAAACUCCUACGGGAGGCAGCAGUGAGGAAUAUUGGUCAAUGGACGAGAGUCUGAACCAGCCAAGUAGCGUGAAGGAUGAAGGUUCUAUGGAUUGUAAACUUCUUUUAUACGGGAAUAAACGGAUCCACGUGUGGAUUUUUGCAUGUACCGUAUGAAUAAGGAUCGGCUAACUCCGUGCCAGCAGCCGCGGUAAUACGGAGGAUCCGAGCGUUAUCCGGAUUUAUUGGGUUUAAAGGGAGCGUAGAUGGGUUGUUAAGUCAGUUGUGAAAGUUUGCGGCUCAACCGUAAAAUUGCAAUCGAUACUGGCAGUCUUGAGUACAGUUGAGGUAGGCGGAAUUCGUGGUGUAGCGGUGAAAUGCUUAGAUAUCACGAAGAACUCCGAUUGCGAAGGCAGCUUACUAACCUGUAACUGACAUUGAUGCUCGAAAGUGUGGGUAUCAAACAGGAUUAGAUACCCUGGUAGUCCACACGGUAAACGAUGAAUACUCGCUGUAGGCGAUAUACAGUCUGCGGCCAAGCGAAAGCAUUAAGUAUUCCACCUGGGGAGUACGCCGGCAACGGUGAAACUCAAAGGAAUUGACGGGGGCCCGCACAAGCGGAGGAACAUGUGGUUUAAUUCGAUGAUACGCGAGGAACCUUACCCGGGCUUAAAUUGCAACCGAAUAUGGCGGAAACGCUAUAGCUAGCAAUAGCGGUUGUGAAGGUGCUGCAUGGUUGUCGUCAGCUCGUGCCGUGAGGUGUCGGCUUAAGUGCCAUAACGAGCGCAACCCUUGCCGAUAGUUACUAACAGGUUAUGCUGAGGACUCUGUCGGGACUGCCAUCGUAAGAUGUGAGGAAGGUGGGGAUGACGUCAAAUCAGCACGGCCCUUACGUCCGGGGCUACACACGUGUUACAAUGGGGGGGUACAGAGGGCUGCUACCACGCAAGUGGAUGCCAAUCCCAAAAACCUCUCUCAGUUCGGAUUGAAGUCUGCAACCCGACUUCAUGAAGCUGGAUUCGCUAGUAAUCGCGUAUCAGCCACGGCGCGGUGAAUACGUUCCCGGGCCU